UCUGAAUUCUAACAAGAAAAAGUAUGCUGUGUCUGCCUGAGGUUAAAAUACAUGAUUUCCCCUAGUCUUCCUUGAAAGAGGCUUCAAAAAGAUUUUUUUUUUUAAAUCAACACCGUAGGAAUUGUGUCCAUCCGAUGAACAAACAGAAAAUAAUGAGGAAAGGGAAUAGCCCUCUACUUUAUUCAUAAAAUUAGCAUAUUUUUCUUUAAAGUUAGUAAAAAAAAAAAACUGAUAAGGAACCACCACAGCCCUACAGAAAGACACUGUUGCUUUAAAUGAGCUUUGCUGUUAUAUAAUGCUCUGGCUGAUUUCACCCCUCCAGCUUUCAAGGAACUGUAAAGAAAUCUCUAAAGGCUAAUAUUUCUCCUGUUCACACUGGCAGAAAAACACAAAGGAAACGGGUAACCCAAGCUCCCUGGAAGGUAAAAAAUGAAGAGCAGAGUCCUGGAGGACAGGACUACAUGUGUCCUCUCCCAUCUUGGGGACCUUGUCAAGCACUAGGCGGCUGCAGCCCUUCUUUACAGCACAGGCUGUGUUCUUUCAGAAGAGCCAAGGCCACAUUUGCUUUGGGAAACAGGACACUGUGAUUAAUCAAAGAAAACAAAAACAGCUUCGUUUUCCAUAAUGGGCCUAUCGAAAGGCUUUUCUAGGAAAAACCUUGAUCAAGCUGUUCCUUCUAUUUCCCUAGAGGCCAACAGUGCUGGAGGGGGAGUGCGGGGGAGAGGAUGGAGUGAGCAAGAAGGUAUUCAUGAAAGUUUAUUCCCGAAUGAUCCCUUCCAGAAAAAGGCUUCAUUGUGUUCACUUGCUCAAAGCACUGAGGGCAUCCACCAGCUAACGGCAAGGGCCCUACGGAAGAAAGAGGAGAUGGGAUCUUGCUGUAUUUCCCAGGCUGAUGUCAAAACCCUGUCCUCAAGUGAACCUACCACCUUCGACUUCUAAAGUGCUGGGAUUACAGAAGUACACAGGAGCCACCGUGCUCAGCCUCUCUCGCUCCUUGAGAAGGGAGAGAAGGAAAGAAAGAAAAAGGAGUGAAGGAGAGGAAGAAAGAGGAAGAAAAAGGGAGAGAGAACGGGAAUGUUGCUUUAUUCUAAAAAUGGGUAUUGAAAACCUCUUUUCUGCCAACAAUUGUACUUAAUAUCAAUAUUUCAUUUAAACCUAUGAGUAGGUGUGAUGUGGUACUGACAAGAAUGUAUAUUUUGUGUAUUUAAAGUGGAGAGCUCUAUAAAUGUUUAUUAAAUUUACUUGUUCCGGAUCUGAGUUCAAGUCCUGGAUAUCCUUAUUAAUUUUCUGUCUCGUUGAUCUAUCUAAUAUUGAUGUUGAAGUCUCCCACUAUUAUUGUGUGAGAGCCUAGGGAGUCUAAGUCUCUUUAUAGGUUUUAUGUAUCUGGGUGUUAGGAUCGUUAGCUCUUAUUGUUGCAUUGAUCCUUUUACCAUUAUAUCUUUGUUGCUUUAAAAUCUAUUUUAUCAGAGGCAAGAAUUGCAACUCCUGCUUUUUAUUUAUUUAUUUAUUUUUGCUCUCCAUUUGGUUGGUAAAUCUUUCUCCAUUCCUUUGUUUUGAGUCUUUGUGUAUCCUUGCAUGUGAAAUGGGUCUGGAUGUAGCAUACCUUUGGGUUUUGGCUAUAGCUUUUGAUUGGGGGAUUUAGUCUAUUUAAAAUUAGGAUUACUGCCAUUUGAU